rnacentral:rRNA from 1 species
AUUAGUGGCGAACGGGUGAGUAACACGUGAGUAACCUGCCCUUGACUCUGGGAUAAGCACUGGAAACGGUGUCUAAUACCGGAUACGAACUUCAGCCGCAUGGCUAGGAGUUGGAAAGAAUUUCGGUCAAGGAUGGACUCGCGGCCUAUCAGCUAGUUGGUGAGGUAAUGGCCCACCAAGGCGACGACGGGUAGCCGGCCUGAGAGGGUGACCGGCCACACUGGGACUGAGACACGGCCCAGACUCCUACGGGAGGCAGCAGUGGGGAAUAUUGCACAAUGGGCGCAAGCCUGAUGCAGCAACGCCGCGUGAGGGACGACGGCCUUCGGGUUGUAAACCUCUUUUAGUAGGGAAGAAGCAAAGUGUUUUACAUGGAGUGACGGUACCUGCAGAAAAAGCACCGGCUAACUACGUGCCAGCAGCCGCGGUAAUACGUAGGGUGCAAGCGUUAUCCGGAAUUAUUGGGUUUAAAGGGUGCGUAGGCGG